GAUCCAGCAGCAAAUGCCCUCACCCAGGAAGAAUGAGGAGACCCAGUACAUCCAGCACUACCACAGCAACUUGAGAAAGGUGCUACCUCUCCCUACAAAUCCUGCCCUCCUCUAACAUGAGCGUUCACCAGGAUGCUGACAUAUUGGAAUGUUCUCUCAAACAACAAGACGACAAAAUGGGGUUUCUGCAGCUGCAAAUAACAAUGUUUUGCUGGCACAGGUCCAGCUCUGAAUACAGCAAGUCCUCAGCCUUUGACUGUUAGGCGUACUUCAUGCCUCCUCAUUUUGAAGUAAUGGACCCGGAAAGUCUGUACCAAGUGACUCUGUAAGGUCAACUUCUGGAUGUGCGUGUGCUGUUACAGCUUCACCAUGUUCAACAGCGCUGUACUGGUUAGAAUCCCUUCAAUAUCUACACCACAAUCCCAAUUUUGGUGCUCCUUCAACAUAUUAAGAAUAAACAAACAAAUCAACUCUGAAUUCCCAUUAAGAUAAAACUGCGAAAUCACCAUGAAAUGAAGGGAGAUACCGCUGUCACUUCCAGAAGUAAGGAUUAAAGGAUUCCUGUCUC
rnacentral:lncRNA from 7 species